rnacentral:piRNA from 1 species
GAGUUGUCCGAAGUCACAAGUAGGC